GCUAAUAAAAUAAAAUUUGAUUUGAAAUCAAAUUAAUUGUUUUUAUAAAACAAUAUUAGCU
rnacentral:tRNA from 1 species